rnacentral:rRNA from 1 species
GACAGAGGGUGCAAACGUUGCUCGGAAUCACUGGGCGUAAAGGGCGUGUAGGCGGGAAGGAAAGUCGGGCGUGAAAUCCCUGGGCUCAACCCAGGAACUGCACUCGAAACUUCUUUUCUUGAGUGCCGGAGAGGAAAGCGGAAUACCUGGUGUAGAGGUGAAAUUCGUAGAUAUCAGGUGGAACACCAGUGGCGAAGGCGGCUUUCUGGACG